rnacentral:rRNA from 1 species
UACGUAGGGGGCGAGCGUUGUCCGGAUUUAUUGGGCGUAAAGAGCUCGUAGGCGGUUCGAUAAGUCGGACGUGAAAUCUCCACGCUCAACGUGGAGGGGCCGUUCGAUACUGUCGUGACUCGAGUCCGGUAGGGGAGUGUGGAAUUCCCGGUGUAGCGGUGAAAUGCGCAGAGAUCGGGAAGAACACCCGUGGCGAAGGCGGUUCUACUGGGACGGUGACUGACGCUGAGACGCGAAAGCGUGGGGAGCGAACAGG